rnacentral:lncRNA from 1 species
CCGACACUUGCAUAAUUCUUAACUUUUUGAUAUGCUUGUACACAAAAACAUUAGGUGUUUCGAAUUUACCUUCAAACGGUCCAUCCAUUUUACCCUAACGAGUCCUUGCUCGAAUUCCUGAAAUGUAAUGGAUGCUGCUUCUUCACUCUUGGGUUGGAAUCUAAGACUGGUUAACAAUAGCAGGGAUUGAGGGAUUUCGGUAAUCGAUUUUCUUGAUUUGUGCAUUAGGGUUUCGAAGGUGAUUUUGAGUUGGGGUUUGAUGAUGGAGCUUUGAAAUUGAUUUAGGAAUUUCCUUCCUCUCUCUCUCUCUCUCUCCACCCCCUCCCUUUUUUGAGAUGGUAAAUG